UUUUCUCAAGAUUUUAUUUGCAAAAUAGUCUCUGUAUAAACAUGUCAAAAGUAUAAAGAGCAUAUUAAUGUUAAUGUCUGAACACUGCUCAUUAGCACUACAGAAAUGAAACACACAUCAUGAUUGGUCAGAUCUGUCACAUGACUUAGUAGAAAACACACUAUGAUUACUUAGACCUCGGGUCAUAUACACUGAUAUUUUUUGUGAAAAUACUAUUUGACUUCCAUUGAGAAAAGUAACAUUUCUACAAAUGCAGCUUUUUAAACAGAAUUAAUAAAUAAAGUCAGAUCAUCUCCUGUAUCAUAUAAAUUCAAUCUAAAAUUAAAAUGUAUAAAAACGUUUAGUUUAGUACAAAAAUCUCUAUUUCACCCGAGAUCUAAUGAUUAAUACAUUAUAAUAUCACCAAAGAAACACUAUAUUACAAAGUGUUAGUUAAAUGCAAAAACUAAAAUAUUCUAAAAGAUGAAAACACUACUCAUAAACUUAUAAGAUAUAUAACAAACAAUACAGUAUCACACAUACUGCCACCUUUUAUUUAACCAUUCUCAAUCAUAACAAAUCAUAUGACAAGUCACAUGCCAAUAACAUGACAGUCACAUGACAAUAACAUGACAACAACAUAAUCUGAACUGGUAACUUAUUGAUUGUCUUAUUUCAAAUAACAAUUUCAACAUUAAAUCUGGGACUACCAACAGUAACCAUCACUAUGUCUACUUUAAGGCUGUUUUUGGUGAAUUGUUCUUUCAUUUAAAAUUGUCAAUACUUUUAAGGUACAAUAUAUAGCCGGAAAAUGAAUAAGAUUGAAAAAAUAUAAGCCUGUACAAUAUAUUUGAAACUUUAAGGUUGCCUUUUAACACAUAAUUCACGAUAGUAUCUUAUUUUUAAUGGGGUUGUGUUACUGAAUCUCUGGUUUUCUGUUCUAAAUCUCAAUCAAUUUAAAGACAGUUGAUGUGGGUACAUUCCUUUCCAUGACCCCCAUGAUUUCAUGUCAGAAACCUUGUUUUUUUAAUUGACCUAAUAAUUCCAUGAAUAAACAUGUACAAUUGUAUCUUCCAAAAAUACUAAAAACUAUAUUGUUAUUUAGUACACACAAAAGAGAACAGACUGAUAUAUGAACAAUAAUUUCCCUAUAAAUGUUUAUAUGAAAGAUUAUUUGAUUAAUAUUUUUGAUUUCAAAAGUUUGUGGCACUGAUGAUAUUACUGAUGUGAAACAGAAAACAAGUCAUUCAAAGCACCAUUUCAAUGAUUUGAUUAUGUAUAACAUUUACAGAAUUCAUCAUACCUAUUUGCACUGAAAGAAAUGUCACAAUGUAAGAUAAUGCUCACAAACCUCAUGAGUUUGGGUGAUACGAAAAAAAUGAAAAGUUUUCUUUGGGAGAGGAAUAUUGCAUUUAGAUGAAAUAUGAGUCUCAUAAUUUACAACU
rnacentral:lncRNA from 1 species